AACGCUCACAUCUGUAUACAGAAGGUCAUCUGAACUAAUAUUAGUGUACACUGAUGAAGUUUACUUUCUCAAGCACAAAGAAUUCUUUGUUUCCAUUCAUUUCAAUGUGUUUCCACAGAUAAUAAAGUAGAAGCUGAUGUUAUGAUGAGCACAAUAACAGAAUGACAGCGUCACUCCAAUUCAUGGAUUAGGACGUAGUAAUGUUGAGCGACACAUUUAAACCUGAACACAUCUGAUUGGAUUAUAAAUGGAUUUGUAUCCACAUCAUGUUUUCUUUAUUCAGAUUGAUGGGCUGCAGUCUGUCAGAGAUCAGCUGGGCUUCUCUGGUCUCAGCUCUGAAGUCCAACCCCCCCCUCCUGAGAGAGCUGGACCUGAGGAACAACGAGCUGCAGGAUUCAUCAGUGAAGCCGCUGUGUGACCUUCUGGAGAGUCCAGACUGCAGACUGGAGACUCUCAGAUUGGGGGGCUACAGUCUGUCAGAGAUCAGCUGGGCUUCUCUGGUCUCAGCUCUGAAGUCCAACCCCUCCCAUCUGAGAGAGCUGGACCUGUGGUACCUGAGGGACACCGAGCUGCAGGAUUCAUCAGUGAAGCUGCUGCGUGACCUUCUGGAGAGUCCAGACUGCAGACUGGAGACUCUCAGGUCAGUCAGGGUCCGACUCAGUCUCUGCUGGUUCAGCAGUAUUGUACUAACAGGGGGGUUAAUGUGUUACUCACGUUGGGGAAUCCCCCAGUUCUACCUUCCACUUGUAGCCUAGCUUAGCAGAACUAAUCAGUGAUUUCACUCAUUGCCUGCAGGUUCUCCUGUUCUUUCAUCUCGUGUUUCUUUUCUUUCAUUCUUCCACUAACAAUAAAACACAAGCUGACAAUGCAAAGCCAAGCAACAUGUUACAAGUUGUAACUUUGGAACUUGUGAUUUCACAGAAGAGUGAGACAGGUAGUGUGUUUGGUUCUUGGAUCCAGACUAAAGACGAGUUACUUCCUGUAAUGCAGGCUCAGAGCUGUCUGCAGUCAGUUGUAGUGUUUGCACAGAAGAUAUGAUGCCAUGUAAAGCGUUCCAUCAGUCGGCUCGUGUCAGGACUCUGAAGCGGGCUGACUCUAACAACAAACUGUUAUUUAAACCUGAGACAUAACUUUUGGGAUUGUGUUCCUACAGGAUCAAUGACGAGUUGAUCAGAGCUGAGAAACACACAACAUAGGACUCCAUCAAACUGGAUGUGUGAACAAACCUGCCCGAGGAAGACAGCAAGGUGAAAGAGGAGCAGCUGCACAGUGUGAAGUAUAUUUAUGGAGCUUCACCACAGAAUCAAAUGUAGUUAUUGGUAAUUGUUUGCCUGGGACCGACCUGCAGGCUCAGCUUGUAUUAGCUCAGAUCAACUGGUCCUCCUGCUGGAGAGACGAGUGGAAGAUGGAGCAGUUCAUGUCUAGAGAUUUGAUAAUAUUGCUAAAUGCCUUGUGGUGUAAUGAACUUGUAAGCUUGAACAAAGUGCAUCAACCUGUUCACCUUUCAUAAGUUCUCUUGCUGGAGUUCUGAUAUACACUUGUACUUGUUUAAACUUCAUCAGACUUCUUGUUUUUGAUACUCAUCGUCUCAUCUUAAACAUUAUUCUUCAUUUCUACAUUA